rnacentral:lncRNA from 1 species
GCCUGGUUUCACAUGGUCCAUAGUGGAUCGAUGCAUUUUUAGAGGUGUUUCUCAUGGUUUUUUGGAAUUUUCAUAGAUUGGGGCACCAUCCGAUGGUUCAAACGGGUUGCGCUCAAGAUCCAUUGGUUCAAGAAGCUGUUUGGGUCCUGUUUGAGCUUUGUUUGAGCUCUUUAUCGAAUGGGACUCGACUCUGAGGUCUUUAAAUAGACCUAUAGCAACAGAAAGCUGGGUGUUGGAAUUGGUGGCUUGGCAGAGACCUGUGCACGCAGAACAAAAAGGAAGUUUAGUAGCGGCGGCACACCUUGAAGCUAGGCACCGACAGAGAACAAAAAUAGAGGCUUCAGGUAGACUGUCAAACAGUGAAUA